GCAAAAAAAAAAAAAGCUUCUUUAUUGACUGGCUCCAGGCUUGUUUGCCUAAAUUCUUAGGUAGUUUACACGAGUUCUAGAACCUUCUAGAACUUUAACUCCAUUGGAAGCAAACCCAACUAAUCAGAAUUUGAGAUCCUGGUUGGUUUCAAUAGGUAUUCUGGAAUUCUAACAGAAUGCCUAAAGAUUUUUUUAAAGAAGGUUUUAGAUACAUUAUCUUACACAAACUGUGACCUAAAGGCAAUAAUUACCUCAAAUGUGGGCAUUCAUCCUGGUUUUAGCCUUUUUUGAAAUCAUGUAGCCAGCUUAAUCUUGGGAUUUAAAAGACUAUGAACUCUGUGUGGGCUAAAAAUAAUGAUUAAUGCACACCCUGGUCAUUGUUGCUUAAGUGAAUUCUGAAAAUAGUUGAUCUUUACAACAAAAACUAAACCAAGGAAGAGAUUAUUCUUUGUGUGUUGUAAUGAAAUGUGAUAUUCAAAUGCACAUGUUAAGUAUAUAUGUUUUUAGCUACUGUAAAAUGCUGUUAGCCUUCUAAGAUACCGAGAGAGCCACAUUUUAAAUGCGUAAUCUAAGCGAUUGACUGUGGAUACUUAAGCAUAUUUCUGGCUACAUUUUAUAGUUAAAGUGUUUUAUAGUUUACAUUUAAACUGGUACUUUUUAAAGAAAAUUUCUGUUUAUAACUGACACCUUCAAACCCCAGCAAUUGCCUCUUUAGUUGGAGGCCACCCCCCCUCCAAGCCAGGUGUUUUCCACCACACUGUUGUGUAGCCCAACACGAGCAUUUCCCUCCAUGUUACUGGUCUCCAUGUGAACACGAGAGAAUGUGAAAGGAUUUCUGGAUUGAAUGGGAAGGGGUGAGUCCAUAGCCUGGGCCAGAUGUGAAGACUUUAUGCCAUGUUGUAUCAACACUCAUCUCCAAAGAGGCCUUCUCUUUGAGAUCCUGGAAGAGGCAGAGAGAACAGAUACCUGGUUCAUUGAUUUUAUCUUGAUUUGAAUGUUUAAUUUCUAUCAAUCCACUGACUUCUGGUCACCAGGCAGUAGAAGACACUGGGAUUCAGGUGGUCCUGAACAUACAGCUGCUAUUCUGGGCCCCCGGCAAUAUUCUGAUUGGUGUUUGGCAAUGGGGAGUCAUAUACCCCGUGCACCCAUAUUCAUUGGCUGGGUUUUCCAUAUAUCUGCUGUCACUAAUUCCUAUUCUCCUUCAAAACAAAAUAAAUGCAAAAGGAUAUGUUUACUCUCUAUUCUUUGUCAAACUUAGAUUUGAAUCCUAGGUGGGUGGAAAGGGGGACAGCUAGAUUCCUUCCUAGAAAUUGUAAGUGCUGCUGAGCGGGAAUGGGGCUGGGGAACCUAGGGACAGCUGGGAGAGGGGCAUGGGGCAUCGAGAACCUCUCAAAGUACAGAUGGGCGCUGUAACGCUGUAGAGAGUGGGCCCCACUGUCUUGCAGGAACAGGCUAGAAAAAGCUGGUUCCCCUACAAGUUUUGGUUGGUUUCUUGUUUUCUCUUGUGCCACAACCGAAGCCCAGAGGAUCUGCUGUGAUAAAGGGCUUUCCGUUUGCAGAUAAGACUUUGCAGACUGCAGAACACCUGGGACCAGGAACUGCUUGCAUGUGUUCCUUCUAAUGCAUUCACCUUUUCCCUGUGACCUCUGUGGACAGUAUGUCCUCAUUACAGGUUCUUGGAAGAAACAUUAGGGUAAACUAUUUUUUAUCUUGCCCUUCCUAAUAAUAGUACUCCAGUUUUCCUCUGUUUGGACUUUUCCGCAGCUUUAAACUAACCAAAUUAAUUUUAUGUCAUUGUCUUCGGGGCUUAACCAUACUUUGAAAAACUGGAAGCAUAGAAAUUAGCUUCAAAAAAAGUGAAUACUCUAUAUCUGAAACUCAGCCUCCUCAGUUUCCUUUCAACCGCUCCACACAGAACUCUAUUUGCGCGGCCUCCCCACUUGUCCAAGUCAGUGUCUCUGUGGCCACCUCCGCCUCCCCUCACUGCCACCACAGCCCCAUACACAGGCAACUGGGACUCCCAGAAUGCUCUCCAGAACCAGGAAGAAGGACCCAUGUGGCCUUGUGAGCAGUGGUCUUGCCUCCCCAUUAGAUACUCACCUGCUUGGUUGAAGAGGCAAUGGAUUUAUCAUUAUUAUUAUCAUUAUUAUUAUUAUUAAUUAUUAUUAUUAUUAUUUUAAUAGUUUUUGGCUCAGGUUAUAAGGAAGAACUUGGGAAGUGGAAAGUGACUUGACCAUGCCCAUCCUUUGUAGCUUUCUGUGACUUCUGAAUGGAACAUGAAGCGUCCCCCACCCCACUUGCCUCUCCUCACUUCCAAGCAGACCACCCCAGUGGGCGUUGCCUCUGCCUCGGGGUCCCCCCACGCCCCCUUUCAUGCUUCCUCUCUCCCUCUUGCUUUUGUGUUACUGCUCAUUUUGAAGCUGUCUUCCGUGGCUUUUCCAGGGCACAAUCAUUUCUGGCCCCCAAAGCAUCUCCUCAUCCUCUUUGUGUGCAUUUUUUAACCAAAUGAAGUAGACCAGGAAGUCCUACUUUGGGGCAGCAGACUUUCUAGUUGAGUAGAAUCACUGUAUAGAUAUAGAUGUUGAUAUAUAUGUUAGUGUAUAUAUAUAUCAAACCAAAUUUCUGAUAGGAAAAGUAUAGCUUUACGGUUGAGGAGGAAGAGGAGCUUUGAGAAGUCAGGCAGUGUUGGCGUCGUAGCCGAGCCCGGGCCGGCUCCAGGGCUGCACCUUCUCCGUGCAGGCCUGAGGCUUGGCGCUGGGUUCUUGUCACCACCUCACCACAGUGGAGGCAGGUGGCCCGGAGAGGGGGCCGCCGCUCUCUCUGGGUCCCCAGCCUCCAGGGCAUAGAUGAGUGAGGGGGGCAGCAAAUCAGAAUGACUGAAAUUUUCCAUCCCAUUUUGCUUUGACCACAUGUAUUGAGCUGCAGCCUCUGAUACUAUAUCACAUUUCCAAAACUGGGAUCCAUUAGGAUGGAAAGAGAACAGAUCUGUAGAAAUGUUUACCUUUCAACUGCCCAUGAAUUCCGGACAUUGGAUAGAAAGACUCACUCCCCAGAAUGAGAGCCGGGAGAGGAGGAGACUGAUGAUUGGUCACCAGUCCAAGGAACAUGGCUCCCUCCCCAAGGUCACCUUGCCCACAUCUUCCUCCACCAGGUCAUCUCAGCUCAAUAGCCCUAUGAAAGCCCCGGUCUGUUGUGUUCCUUCACUGUACGGUUUCUGUAAUGAAAAGUGUUAAUCCAUGUUAAUCCUUGUGAAAAUUAUUGCGUGCAACAGUAUUUUCUCGUGUACCUCUUUUUCCUAUGUGAAUUGUCCCUCUUUUCUUUUUUAUUUAUAAAUGUCUACUUUUUUUAAAAAAACAAACCAAUGUGUUGUAGACCUAUAUGUAACCUAUUCCUUAGUCUCAUAUUAUAGGUAUGUUAUAAGAAUGGAUAUUUUACUUGGCUUUAGAAUGUUUUACAAGAAAAAUAAUUCUUAACUGAUCAAGUCCUUGCUACUAAAAUGCUUGUGUUUUUCAUCAUGAUGUCGUGUGCUUCUAAAUUAAUAAUCAUUUUCGUUGUAGAAAAAUGGAGUGAAUUUAUAUUAGUCUUGGAAACUAAUAAUAGCAUUGUAAAUUUAUGAGAUGAUUUUAACAGAAAAAAAUUAUAGAAGAAUAUAGUUAUUUUAAUUGUAAUAUUACUAACUGUAGGGUGAGAAAGGGGGGUCCCGUUGUGGUGAACUAUGUUAUAGCUUGUUACUCACAGUUUCUUUUUGAUCAUUUUUUCGGUCUCUGAGGUGAAACGAGUUAUUAAUUAAAAUUUGUAAACUCACAUAUGCAUAUUGUAUAUGUGUAGAAAUGUAAUCACACUUUGUCUUGGAAUUACAUUAAACUGUUUGGAAUCAC
rnacentral:lncRNA from 1 species